AGAAUCAACGCUGGCGGCGUGCCUAACACAUGCAAGUCGCACGAGAAAGGGGAGCAAUCCCUGAGUAAAGUGGCGCACGGGUGAGUAACACGUGACUUAUCUACCUCCGAGUGGGGAAUAACCUAGAGAAAUCUGGGCUAAUACCGCAUAACACUUACGAGUCAAAGCAGCAAUGCGCUUGGAGAGGAGGUCGCGGCCGAUUAGCUAGUUGGCGGGGUAAUGGCCCACCAAGGCGAUGAUCGGUA
rnacentral:rRNA from 1 species